rnacentral:rRNA from 1 species
UGAGUAAUGUCUGGGAAACUGCCCGAUGGAGGGGGAUAACUACUGGAAACGGUAGCUAAUACCGCAUAACGUCGCAAGACCAAAGUGGGGGACCUUCGGGCCUCACACCAUCGGAUGUGCCCAGAUGGGAUUAGCUAGUAGGUGGGGUAAUGGCUCACCUAGGCGUCGAUCCCUAGCUGGUCUGAGAGGAUGACCAGCCACACUGGAACUGAGACACGGUCCAGACUCCUACGGGAGGCAGCAGUGGGGAAUAUUGCACAAUGGGCGCAAGCCUGAUGCAGCCAUGCCGCGUGUAUGAAGAAGGCCUUCGGGUUGUAAAGUACUUUCAGCGGGGAGGAAGGCGGUGGAGUUAAUAGCUUCACCGAUUGACGUUACCCGCAGAAGAAGCACCGGCUAACUCCGUGCCAGCAGCCGCGGUAAUACGGAGGGUGCAAGCGUUAAUCGGAAUUACUGGGCGUAAAGCGCACGCAGGCGGUCUGUCAAGUCGGAUGUGAAAUCCCCGGG